rnacentral:rRNA from 1 species
GACGAACGCUGGCGGCGUGCUUAACACAUGCAAGUCGAACGGAAAGGCCCCCACUUUGUUGGUGGGGUUGCUCGAGUGGCGAACUGGUGAGUACCACGUUGGUGAUCUGCCCUGUACUUCGGGAUAAGCUUGGGCAGCUGGGUCUACUACCUGAUAGUUUCAAGGUUUUGGUUCUCAAGGUGGAAAAAUUCUUGUUUUGGUUCAGGAUUAGCUCGGGGCCUAUCAGCUUGUUGGUGGGGUUAUGGCCUACCAAGGCGUCGACGGCAUGCCGGACCGAGAGGGUGGACGGCCACAUUGGGACUGAGAGACGGCCCAGCCUCCUACGGGAGGCAGCAGUGGGGAAUAUCGAACAAUGGGAGCAAGCCGGAUGCAGCGACGCCGCGUGGGGGAUGACGUCCUUCGGGUUGUAAACUCCUUUCGUGAGGGACGAAGCCGCACCUUUUUUGGGUGUGGUGACGGUACCUUUGUUAAGAAGCACCGGCUAACUACGUG